rnacentral:rRNA from 1 species
UAAUACGUAGGUGGCAAGCGUUGUCCGGAUUUACUGGGCGUAAAGCGCGCGCAGGCGGUUUGGAAAGUCUGUGGUGAAAUCUCUCAGCUCAACUGAGAGGGGUCUGCAGAUACUCCCAGACUUGAGUGCCGUAGACGAAGAUGGAAUUCCGGGUGUAGUGGUGAAAUGCGUAGAUAUCCGGAGGAACACCAGUGGCGAAGGCGGUCUUCGAGGCGGUAACUGACGCUGAGGCGCGAAAGCGUGGGGAGCGAACCGGAUUAGAUACCCGGGUAGUCCACGCCGUAAACGAUGGGCACUAGGUGUCGCGGGUAUCGACCCCUGCGGUGCCGUAGCUAACGCAUUAAGUGCCCCGCCUGGGGAGUACGGCCGCAAGGCUA